rnacentral:misc_RNA from 1 species
UACGGAGGGUGCGAGCGUUGUUCGGAAUUACUGGGCGUAAAGCGCACGUAGGCGGAUUCGUAAGUCAAUUGUGAAAGCCCAGAGCUUAACUUUGGAAUUGCAGUUGAAACUACGAACCUUGAAUGCCCGAGAGGGUGGGGGAAUUCCUGGUGUAGAAGUGAAAUUCGUAGAUAUCAGGAAGAACACCCGAUGCGAAGGCGCCUGCCUGGCGGUGCAUUGACGCUGAGGUGCGAAAGCGUGGGGAGCAAACAGG